GCUUGUCUCAAUCGGCUUCAGUUGCUUGGUACUAAAACUCCAGCUGAAAUUUUGGUGAAGCUCUCGUGAUUUCAAUGGCCAGAUAAGGCUGACAGCACUUUUCUCAAGAGGAACGAGGAACAGGGCUUCAUCAAGCUGCAGAACAGUUUUUCUACAGACAAAAGGCAGACAGAGGACAUAUGGGUGGAGAGGUCUGUUCUGGGAAGGCCCCAUAGGGUCCUGCUCUGUUACACUAUGACUUAUUUUGCUUUGAAGAGAAGAUAUGUACCUUUUAGUUACCAUGUAUGAUUUUCUUUUGUGGGAUUUAAUUAAAACAUUCAGUUACUUAAUAAAUACUUCCUGAGCACUAACUAUGCAUCAGGUACUCAGGUACUAGGGACUCAGCUGCAAAAUAAAGAGACAAAAAUAUGUGUCUUCAUAGAGCCCAAACUCUAGUUGGUGAAGACAAGCAAUCAAUGAGUAAAAUAUAUAGAAUGACAGAAAAUUUAAAGUGCUGUGAGGAAAAGUAAAGCAUGGGAGCAAGAUGGGGACUGCCAGGGCACGGAACAGCAGGCUGCAGUUAUACAUAGGAUGGCAAAGAAAGGGCUGGAUGAAGAGACAAUAAAAAUAUAGUCAUUAGGGCAUCAUUCGUGAUAAAGAUAAAUAUUGGCAGCAACCUAGAUAUCUGUCUA